rnacentral:rRNA from 1 species
AGAGUUUGAUCAUGGCUCAGAUUGAACGCUGGCGGAAUGCUUUACACAUGCAAGUCGAACGGCAGCACGGGAGCUUGCUCCUGGUGGCGAGUGGCGAACGGGUGAGUAAUGCGUCGGAACGUACCGAGUAAUGGGGGAUAACGCAGCGAAAGUUGUGCUAAUACCGCAUACGCCCUGAGGGGGAAAGUGGGGGAUCGCAAGACCUCACGUUAUUCGAGCGGCCGACGUCUGAUUAGCUAGUUGGUGGGGUAAAGGCCUACCAAGGCGACGAUCAGUAGCGGGUCUGAGAGGAUGAUCCGCCACACUGGGACUGAGACACGGCCCAGACUCCUACGGGAGGCAGCAGUGGGGAAUUUUGGACAAUGGGGGCAACCCUGAUCCAGCCAUUCCGCGUGAGUGAAGAAGGCCUUCGGGUUGUAAAGCUCUUUCAGCUGGAACGAAACGGUGCGUUCUAACAUAGCGUGCUAAUGACGGUACCAGCAGAAGAAGCACCGGCUAACUACGUGCCAGCAGCCGCGGUAAUACGUAGGGUGCGAGCGUUAAUCGGAAUUACUGGGCGUAAAGCGUGCGCAGGCGGAUUGUUAAGCAAGAUGUGAAAUCCCCGGGCUUAACCUGGGAAUGGCAUUUUGAACUGGCAGUCUAGAGUGCGUCAGAGGGGGGUGGAAUUCCACGUGUAGCAGUGAAAUGCGUAGAGAUGUGGAGGAACACCGAUGGCGAAGGCAGCCCCCUGGGAUGACACUGACGCUCAUGU